UACGAAGGGGGCUAGCGUUGUUCGGAAUUACUGGGCGUAAAGCGCGCGCAGGCGGCUAUCCAAGUCAGUGGUGAAAGCCCGGAGCUCAACUCCGGAACUGCCAUUGAAACUGUUUAGCUUGAGUAUGAGAGAGGUGAGUGGAAUUCCCAGUGUAGAGGUGAAAUUCGUAGAUAUUCGGAAGAACACCAGUGGCGAAGGCGACUCGCUGGACAAGUAUUGACGCUGAGGUGCGAAAGCGUGGGGAGCAAACAGG
rnacentral:rRNA from 1 species